UACAGAGGUCUCAAGCGUUGUUCGGAUUCAUUGGGCGUAAAGGGUGCGUAGGCGGCGCGGUAAGUCGGGUGUGAAAUCUCGGAGCUUAACUCCGAAACUGCAUUCGAUACUGCCGUGCUUGAGGACUGGAGAGGAGACUGGAAUUUACGGUGUAGCGGUGAAAUGCGCAGAUAUCAGGAAGAACACCCGUGGCGAAGGCGGCUUUCUGGGACGGUACUGACGCUGAGACGCGAAAGCUAGGGGAGCAAACAGG
rnacentral:rRNA from 1 species